UGUGAGCUCGAUGAGUAGGGCGGGACACGUGGUAUCCUGUCUGAAUAUGGGGGGACCAUCCUCCAAGGCUAAAUACUCCUGACUGACCGAUAGUGAACCAGUACCGUGAGGGAAAGGCGAAAAGAACCCCGGCGAGGGGAGUGAAAAAGAACCUGAAACCGUGUACGUACAAGCAGUGGGAGCACGCUUAGGCGUGUGACUGCGUACCUUUUGUAUAAUGGGUCAGCGACUUAUAUUCUGUAGCAAGGUUAACCGAAUAGGGGAGCCGAAGGGAAACCGAGUCUUAACUGGGCGUUAAGUUGCAGGGUAUAGACCCGAAACCCGGUGAUCUAGCCAUGGGCAGGUUGAAGGUUGGGUAACACUAACUGGAGGACCGAACCGACUAAUGUUGAAAAAUUAGCGGAUGACUUGUGGCUGGGGGUGAAAGGCCAAUCAAACCGGGAGAUAGCUGGUUCUCCCCGAAAGCUAUUUAGGUAGCGCCUCGUGAAUUCAUCUCCGGGGGUAGAGCACUGUUUCGGCAAGGGGGUCAUCCCGACUUACCAACCCGAUGCAAACUGCGAAUACCGGAGAAUGUUAUCACGGGAGACACACGGCGGGUGCUAACGUCCGUCGUGAAGAGGGAAACAACCCAGACCGCCAGCUAAGGUCCCAAAGUCAUGGUUAAGUGGGAAACGAUGUGGGAAGGCCCAGACAGCCAGGAUGUUGGCUUAGAAGCAGCCAUCAUUUAAAGAAAGCGUAAUAGCUCACUGGUCGAGUCGGCCUGCGCGGAAGAUGUAACGGGGCUAAACCAUGCACCGAAGCUGCGGCAGCGACGCUGAUGCGUUGUUGGGUAGGGGAGCGUUCUGUAAGCCUGCGAAGGUGUGCUGUGAGGCAUGCUGGAGGUAUCAGAAGUGCGAAUGCUGACAUAAGUAACGAUAAAGCGGGUGAAAAGCCCGCUCGCCGGAAGACCAAGGGUUCCUGUCCAACGUUAAUCGGGGCAGGGUGAGUCGACCCCUAAGGCGAGGCCGAAAGGCGUAGUCGAUGGGAAACAGGUUAAUAUUCCUGUACUUGGUGUUACUGCGAAGGGGGGACGGAGAAGGCUAUGUUGGCCGGGCGACGGUUGUCCCGGUUUAAGCGUGUAGGCUGGUUUUCCAGGCAAAUCCGGAAAAUCAAGGCUGAGGCGUGAUGACGAGGCACUACGGUGCUGAAGCAACAAAUGCCCUGCUUCCAGGAAAAGCCUCUAAGCAUCAGGUAACAUCAAAUCGUACCCCAAACCGACACAGGUGGUCAGGUAGAGAAUACCAAGGCGCUUGAGAGAACUCGGGUGAAGGAACUAGGCAAAAUGGUGCCGUAACUUCGGGAGAAGGCACGCUGAUAUGUAGGUGAAGUCCCUUGCUCAUGGAGCUGAAAUCAGUCGAAGAUACCAGCUGGCUGCAACUGUUUAUUAAAAACACAGCACUGUGCAAACACGAAAGUGGACGUAUACGGUGUGACGCCUGCCCGGUGCCGGAAGGUUAAUUGAUGGGGUUAGCGCAAGCGAAGCUCUUGAUCGAAGCCCCGGUAAACGGCGGCCGUAACUAUAACGGUCCUAAGGUAGCGAAAUUCCUUGUCGGGUAAGUUCCGACCUGCACGAAUGGCGUAAUGAUGGCCAGGCUGUCUCCACCCGAGACUCAGUGAAAUUGAACUCGCUGUGAAGAUGCAGUGUACCCGCGGCAAGACGGAAAGACCCCGUGAACCUUUACUAUAGCUUGACACUGAACAUUGAGCCUUGAUGUGUAGGAUAGGUGGGAGGCUUUGAAGUGUGGACGCCAGUCUGCAUGGAGCCGACCUUGAAAUACCACCCUUUAAUGUUUGAUGUUCUAACGUUGACCCGUAAUCCGGGUUGCGGACAGUGUCUGGUGGGUAGUUUGACUGGGGCGGUCUCCUCCUAAAGAGUAACGGAGGAGCACGAAGGUUGGCUAAUCCUGGUCGGACAUCAGGAGGUUAGUGCAAUGGCAUAAGCCAGCUUGACUGCGAGCGUGACGGCGCGAGCAGGUGCGAAAGCAGGUCAUAGUGAUCCGGUGGUUCUGAAUGGAAGGGCCAUCGCUCAACGGAUAAAAGGUACUCCGGGGAUAACAGGCUGAUACCGCCCAAGAGUUCAUAUCGACGGCGGUGUUUGGCACCUCGAUGUCGGCUCAUCACAUCCUGGGGCUGAAGUAGGUCCCAAGGGUAUGGCUGUUCGCCAUUUAAAGUGGUACGCGAGCUGGGUUUAGAACGUCGUGAGACAGUUCGGUCCCUAUCUGCCGUGGGCGCUGGAGAACUGAGGGGGGCUGCUCCUAGUACGAGAGGACCGGAGUGGACGCAUCACUGGUGUUCGGGUUGUCAUGCCAAUGGCACUGCCCGGUAGCUAAAUGCGGAAGAGAUAAGUGCUGAAAGCAUCUAAGCACGAAACUUGCCCCGAGAUGAGUUCUCCCUGACUCCUUGAGAGUCCUGAAGGAACGUUGAAGACGACGACGUUGAUAGGCCGGGUGUGUAAGCGCAGCGAUGCGUUGAGCUAACCGGUACUAAUGAACCGUGAGGCUUAACCUU
rnacentral:rRNA from 1 species